rnacentral:rRNA from 1 species
GUUGACCUCGGAUCAGGUAGGGAUACCCGCUGAACUUAAGCAUAUCAAUAAGCGGAGGAAAAGAAACCAACAGGGAUUGCCCCAGUAACGGCGAGUGAAGCGGCAAGAGCUCAAAUUUGAAAGCUGGCUCCUUCGGGGUCCGCAUUGUAAUUUGCAGAGGAUGCUUCGGGAGCGGUCCCCAUCUAAGUGCCCUGGAACGGGACGUCAUAGAGGGUGAGAAUCCCGUAUGGGAUGGGGUGUCCGCGCCCGUGUGAAGCUCCUUCGACGAGUCGAGUUGUUUGGGAAUGCAGCUCUAAAUGGGUGGUAAAUUUCAUCUAAAGCUAAAUAUUGGCCGGAGACCGAUAGCGCACAAGUAGAGUGAUCGAAAGAUGAAAAGCACUUUGAAAAGAGAGUUAAAAAGCACGUGAAAUUGUUGAAAGGGAAGCGCUUGCGACCAGACUCGCUCGCGGGGUUCAGCCGGCAUUCGUGCCGGUGUACUUCCCCGCGAGCGGGCCAGCGUCGGUUUGGGCGGUCGGUCAAAGGCCUCUGGAAGGUAACGCCCCCUCGGGGGCGUCUUAUAGCCAGGGGUGCAAUGCGGCCUGCCCGGACCGAGGAACGCGCUUCGGCUCGGACGCUGGCAUAAUGGUCGUAAGCGACC